rnacentral:rRNA from 1 species
CACGUAGGCACCAAGCGUUGUCCGGAUUUAUUGGGCGUAAAGAGCUCGUAGGCGGUUCGGUAAGUCGGGUGUGAAAACUCUGGGCUCAACCCAGAGCCGCCACCCGAUACUGCUGUGACUUGAGUUCGGUAGGGGGAGGAGGUACUCGGUGUAGCGGUGAAAUGCGCAGAUAUCGGAAGGAACAUCAGUGGCGAAGGCGGCUUCCUGGACUUAAACUGACACUGAGGCGCGAAAGCGUGGGUAGCAAACAGG